GAUGAACGCUGGCGGCGUGCCUAAUACAUGCAAGUCGAGCGAACGGACGAGAAGCUUGCUUCUCUGAUGUUAGCGGCGGACGGGUGAGUAACACGUGGAUAACCUACCUAUAAGACUGGGAUAACUUCGGGAAACCGGAGCUAAUACCGGAUAAUAUUUUGAACCGCAUGGUUCAAAAGUGAAAGACGGUCUUGCUGUCACUUAUAGAUGGAUCCGCGCUGCAUUAGCUAGUUGGUAAGGUAACGGCUUACCAAGGCAACGAUGCAUAGCCGACCUGAGAGGUGAUCCGCCCCACUGGAACUUAGACCAGGUCCAGGCCCCCAAGGGAGGGAGGAGGAGGGAAUUUUCCCGAAAGGGGGGAAGCCCUGCGGGGCAACCCCGGGGGAGUGAAGAAGGGUUUCGGAUCGGAAAAACCUUUUUUUAGGGAAGAACAAAUGUGUAAAUAACCUUGCACGUCUUGACGGGUCCUAAUCAGAAAGCCACGGCCAACUACGUG
rnacentral:rRNA from 1 species